rnacentral:misc_RNA from 1 species
AAAGUUACAGUCAAAUGCAAAAUACUGGUGGAGAAGAUUCUAUGCAGAUUGUGUUUCAACUGAGCAAAAUAUUUACUCACCAGACAGUACAUUUAUGUUCUUCUUUUGAAUAUUUGGACCAAUAUUACAAAGUUUCAAACAGCCAUAAAUUUGGGGAUUUUUGUUGGACAGUGUAUCUUCAUCAUCUUUGAAUGGCCAGGCCCCUCCUAAUUACUUUUUUAUUUUACCUCAAUUACCUUUUUUAUUGAAAAGAGAAUGGCUUUUCCUUGUUUGGUUCAUGAUUCACCAUGAUUUCAUAAUAUAUGGUAUGAUUUCUCUCAUUAUUUGUAAAGAUUAUUCUUAAAAAAUAGUAGUUUUACCGUAACUUUUUAAAU